AGGUGCUGUGAGGAUAUAUGCUAAAGCGUGGACAGCUAUUUGUCAAGUCAUCUUGUUACUCAUAUCACAUGCAGUAGCCUUCCAAACUGUAAAAUCAAGAACCUGAGAUCCUCUAGUGGUGGGUUGCCAGUAGUGAAACCUGCAUGGCUGAUGGAUUCUAUUGCUGCAAAUAAACUAUUAAGCUGGGUUCCAUACCAACUGGACCAGAUUGCUACUGAAGCUCAUAACCAACCAAAGGUAUCUGCUUCUUUUGUUCUGAAAAGCAGCAUAGUGUCAGAUGAUUCUACAACUUGUGUGACAGGUCAAAUAAAAGCAAAAUUGGAGGAUCCUUAAGGUGGCACAUUUAAGGGGACUAAUUUAUCUGAACCAUGUCGAUCCAUGGAACACUUAGAACACUUAGCCCCUCUCAACCUUCUGCUUCAUAGCAGCUAUAAUAUUAAAAGAUCAACAGGCCCAGCAAGGCAGCAACUGUCGAGCCUUCUGAUUGGCAUCAUCAAUCCUACACAACUCCAAUUUGUAGAAAAUUGUUUUAAGGUAAUCAUAACAUGUUUCUUUCCAUAUUUUUCCAGUUUGGUGUGUGUGUGUGUGUGUGUGUGUGGGCCCGGGGGGGGGGCUCAUUGCUGCAUGAACUGGAUGGUAUAUUUGUGCAGUACUUAAUGAAUUAUUUGCCUCAUAUCAGUCAUAUGUAAUUUGGCAUGUCAUAUAGUCUGUCAGUCAAAGUUGUUUAAAUUACUUUUUUUAACAUUUUCUACAACUGUGGACCAGUUACAAUUUUGUCAAUUUUCAAGUUAAUUUUGUUCUUCAUGGAUUUCAAAUUGGUGAAUCUCCUAUUGAGGUGGUUUACGUAGGCUGUAGUCGAGAAGUGUAGGAGAUGAUGCUAUAUCUUGGGUGUUCAGCAAGGAGGACGCUUUCAUUCUCAAGGGCGUGCAUCUAUGGGUUGUAAGCUUGUCUUGUAACUAUCAGUAACUUAGUAUGUGGUGAUUUACUUGAAAUACUGUUGGGGCCUUUCUUGUUUUUAUUAUUUCAUGUUUCUUUAACCCACUUUUCGGGCCAUUCAGAAGUUUAAUGGGAAAGAAAUUGAUAAAAGAUCCAUUGCUAUUGAUUGGGCUGUUCCAAAGAAAGUUUAUGCUACUGGUGCCCAUCCUGUUGUUGCUUUAGAAGAUGGUAUUGCAAGUGUGAGAUGCCUUACAACCCUGAUGAUCAAGUCCAGUAUGAAGUUUAUGAUGAAACUUUUUAAUUUGAGCACUAUUUAGUUUCUAAGAUCUUCCAUGCAUCCACAAGACAGUAAUCAUUUGGGAUAUGCAAAAUUUAAUAGACUGUGGGGUGCUCUAAUGUGGAGAGGAUAUAUUUUAUGAAGGCAACCAAUUGAGAUCGUAGGCAGCAUGAAGAGAUUGUAGUCAUGAGUGAAUCCAUCUUUGGGCGUUGCGAUGAGCUACGGUGGCCUCUUGCCUCGGAUGGGGUUUUUUUUGUCCGUGGAGAGAGCGGAAUAAUUGAUGUUUUCGGGAGCAGGAGCGGUCUGCGUCCAAAUUAGCACACCAGGUUCAAUGUGCCGUCUAUGACACCAAGUUUAGUUAUGCCCUAGUUUUGUGUUUUGUGUGUGCAGGGGAUGCCCUAGUGUGGUUUGUAGACUUUCUCUUGAUUUUCUGUUAAUAUAUCUUACCUAAAAAAAAAAAAAACCUAAAUCUUAAAAUCCUAACCCCUAAACCCAACCCCGUCUCAAAUUUGUUGGGAUCCCGAGAGUAGUGUUUGUUUUCUUGAUGUCGUUGUGCACUAGUGUAUGCUUAUUUGUGUUGACACUUUUGAUGCUUUUUCUCUACAAGUCUCAUUUACAGGAAAAGAAAGCCCAACCCUAAAUCCUAAAAUCCUAAUCCCUAAACCCCAAAUCCCUAAUCCCUAACCCCUAAACCCC